rnacentral:rRNA from 1 species
ACCCGCUGAACUUAACGUCAAUAAGCGGAGGAAAAGAAACCAACAGGGAUUGCCCUAGUAACGGCGAGUGAAGCGGCAACAGCUCAAAUUUGAAAUCUGGCCUCUUUUGGGGUCCGAGUUGUAAUUUGCAGAGGGCGCUUUGGCGUUGGCAGCGGUCCAAGUUCCUUGGAACAGGGCGUCACAGAGGGUGAGAAUCCCGUACGUGGUCGCUGGCCUUCGCCGUGUAAAGCCCCUUCGACGAGUCGAGUUGUUUGGGAAUGCAGCUCUAAAUGGGAGGUAAAUUUCUUCUAAAGCUAAAUACUGGCCAGAGACCGAUAGCGCACAAGUAGAGUGAUCGAAAGAUGAAAAGCACUUUGGAAAGAGAGUCAAACAGCACGUGAAAUUGUUGAAAGGGAAGCGCUUGCAGCCAGACUUGCCUGUAGUUGCUCAUCCGGGCUUUUGCCCGGUGCACUCUUCUAUAGGCAGGCCAGCAUCAGUUUGGGCGGUUAGAUAAAGGUCUCUGUCAUGUACCUCUCUUCGGGGAGAACUUAUAGGGGAGACGACAUGUAACCAGCCCAGAUUGAGGUCCGCGCAUUUGCUAGGAUGCUGGCGUAAUGGCUGU